rnacentral:rRNA from 1 species
UGGGGAAUAUUGCACAAUGGGGGAAACCCUGAUGCAGCCAUGCCGCGUGUGUGAAGAAGGCCUUCGGGUUGUAAAGCACUUUCAGUUGUGAGGAAAGGUUAAGGGUUAAUAACUCUUAGCUGUGACGUUAGCAACAGAAGAAGCACCGGCUAACUCCGUGCCAGCAGCCGCGGUAAUACGGAGGGUGCAAGCGUUAAUCGGAAUUACUGGGCGUAAAGCGCGCGUAGGUGGUUUAUUAAGUGGGAUGUGAAAGCCCCGGGCUCAACCUGGGAACUGCACCCCAAACUGAUAGACUAGAGUACAAUAGAGGGGUGUGGAAUUUCCUGUGUAGCGGUGAAAUGCGUAGAUAUAGGAAGGAACACCAGUGGCGAAGGCGACACCCUGGAUUGAUACUGACACUGAGGUGCGAAAGCGUGGGGAGCAAACAGG